rnacentral:rRNA from 1 species
GUACCCUCGGGACGCAGCAGUGAGGAAUAUUGGUCAAUGGGCGCGAGCCUGAAGCAGCCAAGUAGCGUGAAGGAUGACUGCCCUACGGGGUGUAAACUUCUUUUAUAAAGGAAUAAAGUGAGGCACGUGUGCCUUUUUGUAUGUACUUUAUGAAUAAGGAUCGGCUAACUCCGUGCCAGCAGCCGCGGUAAUACGGAGGAUCCGAGCGUUAUCCGGAUUUAUUGGGUUUAAAGGGAGCGUAGAUGGGUUGUUAAGUCAGUUGUGAAAGUUUGCGGCGCA